rnacentral:misc_RNA from 1 species
AGUCGAUAUCAAUUAUUUAUAAUAAUAAGUACUUUUAACAAUGGAAAAAUAGUACAUUCCUCAUAAAUAAUGAUUUCAUUUUUGACCUUACACGAAAAAAUAUUAAAAUUGUUAAAACAUUAUUUAAGCAUUUCCUUUUACCACAGCUACUAAUGUUUAAAAAAACUGUUAAGAUUACAAUUUUGUCAAUCAUUGACUAGACGUUUUUAUGAUGGCGGUGACGGGCGACUGGAACAAAUUAACAUUUUAAUUGUAUGUGCCAGGUCGUUUUAGCAGCCGACUUUCAUCUGACGAUCACUAGCUUUGGAAAAUCACUCAGGACAGCCGUGUGACGUCCAAUCGGGCGUGUGACAAGCAAUUAAUGGGUUAUAUUUUUACUAGCAAAGAAUGUGUUAAGUAGAACCUAAAAUUACAUGAUGUCUUUAAGAUCACGUAGUACGAAGUCGAAUAUAAAAGUUAUCUUAGACACAGAAAGUUUGAGGAAUAUAACACGAGAAAAUAAUAAUUUGCUUACCUACACCCUGCUAACAUUCGUGGUUGUGCUCGCAAUGUAUUUAUUGACUAAAGAUUGGAAAGGAUUUACAGCUCCGGAAGAAAUAGAUCUCGGUUCUGUAAGAGUUAUGCGGCACACGAUACGUCAAAAACAAAAUUGUCGUAAGAGUUGAUAAAUAAAAUAAAUGUAAAAAAUAGUAUAAACAAUUUAAUACUUCAUUGAUAUUUAUUUUGGCUUAUAAGAAACCAUAACA